CGAGGGGGAGCGCCCAGCGCGUACAUCUGAGCUUUGUGCGCAGGUCCCGCCAGGGCCGCCGCUCUCCUAGGUGCGCCCUCGGGGAUCCGCACCGGAGCACGCGUCGGGAAGAACUGCGCAGACUCCGGGCGCGCCCCUCCUGGAGGGUUCGGUCCAGGCGCUCCAACGUUCUGGAGGGACUGGCCGCAAGGCGCCCUGCUUCUGGAGAGGCCGGCCCCAGUGGGCCCCCCUUCUGGUGAGGAUGCCAUCAGGAUCCCACAUAACCUCUAGUCUCGUGUCUCCUGAGGCUCCGCUUGGCUGUGACAGUCUCUCAGACUGUCCUUGGUUUCUGUGACCUUGGCGCUUGGGAGAGGUGCCGGCGGCUGUUCUGUAAGAUGUCUCUCUCUCUGGAUUUGUCUGAGGUUUUUGUCGUGGUUAGACUGGGGCACUGGUUUGGGAAGAAGACCGCAGAGAUAAAGUGCCAUUCCCGUCUCAGUGUAUCAAGGGUCCUUGCCACCAACAGGACCCAUCCCUGCUGAAGUUGACCUUGGUCGCCUGCCUGAAGAAGUGUCGUCUCCACUGUCAAGGUACCGCGUUCUCGCCCUGUCCACACUGUGCCUUGUGGAAGGAAGUCACUGUGCACAGCCCACACUUAAGGGGCCUCUUCAGGGAGAGUCCUAAUAAACUACCUGGAAGUCUUCCACGUGGAGGGUUGGGGAGAUUUGUCUCUUCUCCCCAGUUGUUUAUGCGAUCACUUACUUGUGUCAUGGGUUCUUAUUUUGUACUGAAAGCUUGGGAGGGAGUGUGGUCUCACCAGGUCUGUGUGCCCUUGCGUGUGCACACAAGCGUGUGCGAGCAUUUAGUUCCAGGCAGCUUUAUCACAUGUGUCAGCUCAUGUACUCAUCUUGGCCGUCAAGACACGGAACUGCCCGGUCACCACGUGGCUCCCUCCUGCUGCCCUCUCGUGGCCACAGCCCCCUCCCUCCCCCCACCCACCUGGCCAGUGGGAUCCAGACUGUGCCUCCUCCCCAAUCCUCCAGUGUGGCUCCCCACCCUCCUGGGCUCAGCCGGAAGGCUCUUGGUGACGGGGACGGAUGUGACUCCUGAGUCACUGCUGACCACUGGCUCCGGCUCUCUCUGGCCCUCCUUUGACCCUCCUCCUGGCCUGUGGACCCCUCUCUGGAUGGCUGCAGGCCACCACCCCUUUCUCUGGUUCUCCCUUCACGCCUUGAUCCCCUGACAAAGGAGCCACUACUGCUCCCGCACCCACCUUGUGUCACCUCUGGGCACGCAGCCCGCAGGAUGGGAUGUGUUUCCCAGGAGUCUCUCUCUGUCCCCCUCUGUCUCUGUCUCCCUCUACCCCUGCAUCUCUCUCUCCCCCUCACUCCUGCAUCCCCAGCACAAAGUGGACGCCUGGUGUGAGUCAGCUCCCUGCUCUUCCCUCUGCCUCUCCUGAGCCUGCCUGGCUCUGCAUGGGGACACUGGAUGUGGGACAUGUGGACAAAGGACACGAGACACAGGGACUCGGGGACUUGUGUUUCCUCUCACCUCCUGUCCCCCUGCCCGUACCUGUGCCCUGCCAGCCCCUGGAGCUUCUUCCUCCUCCACUUUGUACCUCUGCAAGUUGGGCCCCGGGAAGUGGUCAGGGCCCUGGGAUGAGGUGGGAGCCCCUGGGGCUCCUGGGGGUACCUCCUGAAAGCAGCUGGGUGUGUUAGGGGGUCAAGGCUGUGAGUUGUCAGUCAAGGUGAUGUUUGGGGCUCCUGUGGCCUGGGCCACCAGCAGGGACAGAACAGCAGGUGACCAUUGGUUUACCCAGUGAUUUAGUCUCCAUGGAGCCUUGGCCCCUCAUUGGACUGUCACCACGGGCCUGGCAUUGCUGUUAUUGUCAUUUUACAGUUGAGGAGUUUGUGCCUGAGAGAGACAGAGUGAAGGAGGCAGAGAGAGGGAGAGGCCGGCGUGGGGGGACCGAAGGAGGAGGAGGUCCCUCGGCCUCAGAAUCCUUGCUGCCAGUAGGGGGCUGGCACAAUGUGCACAGUGAGCUGCAUCCCUAGAGGGUAGGCAAGCUUGGCCCUUAUGGAAGGGCUCUCUGGAGGGCUGCCUGAGGGUGGUGUGGAUGUGGAAGUGAUUGGCUGGGAACGUUAGGCCCUCCAGCCCAGGGAGACCGCUUGUGGGUAAGACGUGGGUAGGAGCAGGAAUGAGACUGGGGUCCCCGAGUCAGCACCCCGACCUGUGUGCCUUUGCUCAAGGGGUGCCCACCCCCACGCUGCCUUCCUCUGCCCUCCCUGUGCCUCCCUUUCUCCUGAGUGCUUGCUCCACCAAGGCACUGAGGCAUCCGCGCCAGGUCACUCGGCCACUUGGGGAAUCGGUGCCGUGGCUGGCCCCCGGGGGGCCGCAGUGGGUGAAGGCCCAUCCAUAAUGAGUGUAGGCUGGACCUUGACCUGCAGAGCAACUGGGCGAGGGGCCGUGGGAAUGAAGACUCUGCUGGAGAAGGCUGGGCCGGGACGGCAGG
ensembl:lncRNA